CAAUGCGGCUAAAACAUAUAAGCCUUUUAAUUCUAGCAUGGGGAAAGGUACGAAUACAGGUUGGAGUAAAUUCAAGACAAGCCAAGCUGCCUCUCCUGAGAAACA